AGUGGACGCUGGCGGUAGGCCUAACACAUGCAAGUCGAACGGCAGCACAGUAAGAGCUUGCUCUUACGGGUGGCGAGUGGCGGACGGGUGAGGAAUACAUCGGAAUCUACUUUUUCGUGGGGGAUAACGUAGGGAAACUUACGCUAAUACCGCAUACGACCUACGGGUGAAAGCAGGGGAUCUUCGGACCUUGCGCGAUUGAAUGAGCCGAUGUCGGAUUAGCUAGUUGGCGGGGUAAAGGCCCACCAAGGCGACGAUCCGUAGCUGGUCUGAGAGGAUGAUCAGCCACACUGGAGCUGAGACACGGUCCAGACUCCUACGGGAGGCAGCAGUGGGGAAUAUUGGACAAUGGGCGCAAGCCUGAUCCAGCCAUACCGCGUGGGUGAAGAAGGCCUUCGGGUUGUAAAGCCCUUUUGUUGGGAAAGAAAAGCAGCAGGUUAAUACCCCGCUGUUCUGACGGUACCCAAAGAAUAAGCACCGGCUAACUUCGUG
rnacentral:rRNA from 1 species